rnacentral:rRNA from 1 species
GCUACAGGCUUAACACAUGCAAGUCGAGGGGCAUCGGGAAGAAAGCUUGCUUUCUUUGCUGGCGACCGGCGCACGGGUGAGUAACACGUAUCCAACCUGCCCUUUACUCGGGGAUAGCCUUUCGAAAGAAAGAUUAAUACCCGAUGGCAUAAUGAUUCCGCAUGGUUUCAUUAUUAAAGGAUUCCGGUAAAGGAUGGGGAUGCGUUCCAUUAGGUUGUUGGUGAGGUAACGGCUCACCAAGCCUUCGAUGGAUAGGGGUUCUGAGAGGAAGGUCCCCCACAUUGGAACUGAGACACGGUCCAAACUCCUACGGGAGGCAGCAGUGAGGAAUAUUGGUCAAUGGGCGCUAGCCUGAACCAGCCAAGUAGCGUGAAGGAUGAAGGCUCUAUGGGUCGUAAACUUCUUUUAUAUAAGAAUAAAGUGCAGUAUGUAUACUGUUUUGUAUGUAUUAUAUGAAUAAGGAUCGGCUAACUCCGUGCCAGCAGCCGCGGUAAUACGGAGGAUCCGAGCGUUAUCCGGAUUUAUUGGGUUUAAAGGGAGCGUAGGUGGACUGGUAAGUCAGUUGUGAAAGUUUGCGGCUCAACCGUAAAAUUGCAGUUGAUACUGUCAGUCUUGAGUACAGUAGAGGUGGGCGGAAUUCGUGGUGUAGCGGUGAAAUGCUUAGAUAUCACGAAGAACUCCGAUUGCGAAGGCAGCUCACUGGACUGCAACUGACACUGAUGCUCGAAAGU